CACAGUGGGAGCGAGGUCUCGUUGAUGAUCGGGGCUGGCACCGAGAUUCUACAUGGAACGAGUGGCGUACGGGUGAGUCACACGUGGGUAACCUGCCCUUAAGUGGGGGAUAACAUUUGGAAACAGAUGCUAAUACCGCAUAGAUCCAAGAACCGCAUGGUUCUUGGCUGAAAGAUGGCGUAAGCUAUCGCUUUUGGAUGGACCCGCGGCGUAUUAGCUAGUUGGUGAGGUAAUGGCUCACCAAGGCGAUGAUACGUAGCCGAACUGAGAGGUUGAUCGGCCACAUUGGGACUGAGACACGGCCCAAACUCCUACGGGAGGCAGCAGUAGGGAAUCUUCCACAAUGGACGCAAGUCUGAUGGAGCAACGCCGCGUGAGUGAAGAAGGCUUUCGGGUCGUAAAACUCUGUUGUUGGAGAAGAAUGGUCGGCAGAGUAACUGUUGUCGGCGUGACGGUAUCCAACCAGAAAGCCACGGCUAACUACGUGCCAGCAGCCGCGGUAAUACGUAGGUGGCAAGCGUUAUCCGGAUUUAUUGGGCGUAAAGCGAGCGCAGGCGGUUUUUUAAGUUCUGAUGUGAAAGCCC
rnacentral:rRNA from 2 species